rnacentral:rRNA from 1 species
CCUACGGGUGGCAGCAGUCGAGAAUCAUUCACAAUGGGGGAAACCCUGAUGGUGCGACGCCGCGUGGGGGAAUGAAGGUCUUCGGAUUGUAAACCCCUGUCAUGUGGGAGCAAAUUAAAAAGAUAGUACCACAAGAGGAAGAGACGGCUAACUCUGUGCCAGCAGCCGCGGUAAUACAGAGGUCUCAAGCGUUGUUCGGAAUCACUGGGCGUAAAGCGUGCGUAGGCUGUUUCGUAAGUCGGGUGUGAAAGGCGCGGGCUCAACCCGCGGACGGCACAUGAUACUGCGAGACGAGAGUAAGGGAGGGGGAACCGGAAUGCUCGGUGUAGCAGUGAAAUGCGUAGAUAUCGAGAGGAACACUCGUGGCGAAGGCGGGUUCCUGGACAUUAACUGACGCUGAGGCACGAAGGCCAGGGGAGCGAAAGGGAUUAGAUACCCUAGUAGUC